GAAGGAGGAAGCGCGCGGGGCGCCAUAAGGAGGAAGCGGGUAGUCGACCGUGUCCGCGCGCCUGGGAGACGCUGCCUCGGCCCGGACGCGCCCGCGCCCCCGCGGCUGGAGGGUGGUCAGCAAUGGUUCCGGCCUCAGGGAUGAGUGCAUCACAAACCUACUGGUGUUUGGCUUCCUCCAAAGCUGCUCUGACAACAGCUUCCGCAGAGAGCUGGAUGCGCUGGGCCGCGAGCUGCCAGUGCUGGCUCCCCAGUGGGAGGGCUACGAUGAGCUGCAGACUGACGGCAACCGCAGCAGCCACUCCCGCUUGGGAAGAAUAGAGGCAGAUUCUGAAAGUCAAGAAGACAUCAUCCGGAACAUUGCCAGGCACCUCGCCCAGGUCGGGGACAGCAUGGACCGUAGCAUCCCUCCGGGCCUGGUGAACGGCCUGGCCCUGCAGCUCAGGAACACCAGCCGGUCAGAGGAGGACCGGAACAGGGACCUGGCCACUGCCCUGGAGCAGCUGCUGCAGGCCUACCCUACAGACAUGGAGAAGGAGAAGACCAUGCUGGUGCUGGCCCUGCUGCUGGCCAAGAAGGUGGCCAGUCACACACCGUCCUUGCUGCGUGAUGUCUUUCACACAACGGUGAAUUUUAUUA
rnacentral:sRNA from 1 species